AGAUGUGAGAGCAAUCUGACAGAGACAUCUGUCACUCCACCACAUGCCAGGUUUGAUUCGAGGGAUUUGGCUGGCUGGAAGAUGUCUGCUGAUUUCCUUGCUGUUCUAUGCUUGUUAUCUUGCCAUAGGCAUUGGGUGCAUCAGCGGGCCACCCAAGUCAAAGAGGGUGACACUCAGAGGAGGACCACACCGUAGUCCAGCUGAUAGAAUUAACUGAACACUUCUGCUAGAGCCCCAAAACAAGUGUGCAAGGUUCUUAUGGAAACACCAAUGUCAGUUCUACUUUUUCUGCUUGUGAAGCAGUAAAUACGU
ensembl:misc_RNA 7SK 7SK RNA